GAUGAAGAACGUAGCGAAAUGCGAUAAGUAAUGUGAAUUGCAGAAUUCAGUGAAUCAUCGAAUCUUUGAACGCACAUUGCGCCCGCUAGUAUUCUGGCGGGCAUGCCUGUUCGAGCGUCAUUUCAACCAUCAAGCCCCAGGCUUGCGUUGGGGGCCUGCGGCUGCCGCAGCCCCUGAAAAGCAGUGGCGGGCUCGCUGUCAUUCCGAGCGUAGUAGUUACAUCUCGCUCUGGGCGUGCUGCGGGUUCCGGCCGUUAAACCACCUUCAUAACCCAAGGUUGACCUCGGAUCAGGUAGGAAGACCCGCUGAACUUAAGCAUAUCAAUAAGCGGAGGA
rnacentral:misc_RNA from 1 species